rfam:Oryza sativa Japonica Group DNA, chromosome 8, cultivar: Nipponbare, complete sequence.
AAUAGAUGACACCGUUGACUUUUUUUAUAUGCUUGACCAUUCGUCUUAUUCAAAAAAAAUUACGUAAUUAUAAUUUAUUUUGUUAUGAGUUGGUUUAUCACUCAUAGUAUUUUAAGUGUGAUUUAUAUCUUAUAUAUUUAUAAAAUGUUUUUAAAUAAGACGAAUGGUCAAACAUGUGAUAAAAAAUCAACGGCGUCGUCUAUU